rnacentral:rRNA from 1 species
UACAGAGGGCCCAAGCGUUGUUCGGAUUCAUUGGGCGUAAAGGGUGCGUAGGCGGCGCGGUAAGUCGGGUGUGAAAUCUCGGAGCUUAACUCCGAAACUGCAUUCGAUACUGCCGUGCUUGAGGACUGGAGAGGAGAGUGGAAUUUACGGUGUAGCGGUGAAAUGCGUAGAUAUCGUAAGGAAGACCAGUGGCGAAGGCGGGUCUCUGGACAGUUCCUGACGCUGAGGCACGAAGGCCAGGGGAGCAAACGGG